CUGCAUUAAACUACAUCUCAAACCAUGCCAGCUUCUUCCAGCUACUUACUGAAUUUUAUAUAUGGUCUUGCCUGCAUCAUACUACAUCUCAAACCAUGCCAGCUUCUUCUAGCUACUUACUGAAUUUUAUAUAUGGUCUUUUCUGUAUCAACUACAGCUCAAACCUUGUCAGCUUCUUCAAACUACUUACAAAACUUGUAAAGGGCCUUGUCUGCAUCAUUAUAUAUCUCAGACCAUGCCAGCUUCUUCAAACUACUUACAAAACUUGUAAAGGGUCUUGUCUGCAUCAUACUACAUCUCAGACCAUGCCAGCUUCUUCAAGCUACUUACAGAACUUGAAAAGGGCCUUGUCUUUAUCAUACUACAUUUCAUACCAUGCCAGCUUCUUCAAACUACUUCAGAACUGGUAAAGGGUCUUAUCUGCAUCAUUAUACAUCUCAGACCAUGCCAGCUUCUUCAAGCUAUUUACAGUACUUGAAAAGGGCCUUGUCUGCAUCAUACUACAUCUCAGACCACGCCAGCUUCUUCAAGCUACUUACAGAACUUGAAAAGGGCCUUGUCUGCAUCAUACUAUAUCUCAGACCAUGCCAGCUUCUUCAAGCUACUUACAGAACUUGAAAAGGGACUUGUCUGCAACAUACUACAUCCCAGACCAUGCCAGCUUCAUCAAGUUACUUACAGAACUUGAAAAGGGCCUUGUCUUCACCAUACUACAUCCCAUUCCAUGCCAACUUCUUCAAGUUUAUUACAGAACUUGAAAAGGGCCUUGUCUGCA